UGGCCGAAGGAGCACGACUGGAAAUCGUGUGUGCUGUCAAAAGCGGCACCGAGGGUUCGAAUCCCUCUCUCUCCG
rnacentral:tRNA from 1 species